UACGAAGGGGGCUAGCGUUGCUCGGAAUGACUGGGCGUAAAGGGCGCGUAGGCGGAUGACACAGUCAGAUGUGAAAUCCCGGGCUUAACCUGGGGGGCUGCAUUUGAUACGUGUUGUCUAGAGUGAGGAAGAGGGUUGUGGAAUUUCCAGUGUAGAGGUGAAAUUCGUAGAUAUUGGGAAGAACACCGGUGGCGAAGGCGGCAACCUGGUCCUUGACUGACGCUGAGGCGCGAAAGCGUGGGGAGCAAACAGG
rnacentral:rRNA from 1 species